UCAAGUUAGGUAAAUUUGAAGCGGCUGGUCUGAGCGCCUAUAUAUCCGCUCUUGAGCAGGACUGUUGUUAGCGGGGUUACCAGACAUGUCUGAACACGAUGGCCUUGCCGGCAGCCGCUUAUGGGUGCACUAAGACUGCUAACGCAAUGGAAGAAGUGAAAAUGGGAAGAGAGAUUGAGGGGACCGCAUAGAUCAGGUUUUUGCAUGUUAAGAUGGCCUAAUGAGAGAGCAUUGUCUUACAAGGGUACAUAGAAUUUCCCAGCUCCACAUUGGGCAUCAUAACAUCACUAUCUGUUGCCAUGGAAAUCGCUGUGAUUUUGCAAAUUCAGCUUUGUUUUGAUGAAAUUAGACACACACAAAAAAAAAAAAGAAAUGGGCAAUAGGGAAAAGUAGCACCAUCUAUUUAAUUUAAUAGAGGAAGAAAUUUGAGGGUUGUACUAUAUCUACCAACCAUUGCUUUUAGAUGGUAGUUAGCUUUCCAGACUGAUACUUUGCAUUCCUGGCUAUUGCUGGAAUAUGUAAUAAUGCUUGGACAACCACAAGUCUGUUAGUGGCCUGCUUUAGAAAUAAAGCAGUGGCCAAACAAUAAAAAUUAACAUUAAUGCUAUUUGAUAAAUAUAUGCAUUUCCUGGUCUCUGUAAUUUAGUCCUGCAAUAUGAGGGUAAAUUAUGGGCUUGCUGGAAGUGGUGUACAAAAUUCUGCUUUCAUCUUGCCAGAACUAUUAAGGGAGACCAGCAUGAUACAGUUCUACAGCUAAUGUUUUAGAUUUUUUAGACUGGAUUUAUGAAUAAAUUAAAAGAGUUUGCCUAUACCUGG